GAUGAACGCUGGCGGCGUGCCUAAUACAUGCAAGUCGAGCGGACACACGAGUAGCUUUCUCCGCUGACGUUAUCGGCGGACGGGUGAUUAACACGUGGAGAACCUACCUAUUAGAAUGGGAUAAUUUCGGGAAACCGGAGCUAAUACCGGAUAAUAAAUUGAACCAAAUGGUUCAAUAGUGAAAGACGGUUUUGCUGUCGCUUAUAGAUGGAUCCGCUCCGAAUUAGCUAGUUGGUAAGGUAACGGCUUACCAAGGCAACGAUGCGUAGCCGACCUGAGAGGGUGAACGGCCACACUGGCACUGAGACCCGGCCGAGACUCCUGCGGGAGGACGCAGUAGGGAAUCUUCCGCAAUGGGGGAAAGCCUGACGGAGCAACGCCGGGGGAGUGAUGAAGGUCUUCGGCUCGUAAAACUCUGUUAUCAGGGAAGAACAAAUGUGUAAGUAACUAUGAACGUCAUGACGGUACCUAAUGAGAAAGCAACGGCUAACUACGUG
rnacentral:rRNA from 1 species